rnacentral:rRNA from 1 species
CGGAGUGGACGCAUCACUGGUGUUCGGGUUGUCAUGCCAAUGGCACUGCCCGGUAGCUAAAUGCGGAAGAGAUAAGUGCUGAAAGCAUCUAAGCACGAAACUUGCCCCGAGAUGAGUUCUCCCUGACUCCUUGAGAGUCCUGAAGGAACGUUGAAGACGACGACGUUGAUAGGCCGGGUGUGUAAGCGCAGCGAUGCGUUGAGCUAACCGGUACUAAUAAACCGUGAGGCUUAACCUUACAACGCCGAAG